AACGCAUUUAUUUCUGGGAGGAUAGUAUUGCUGGGCCGUCUUGAGUAGCUGGUGAUGUUUUUGUUGAUGCUCUGCCGCAUUUUGACCAGGGAUAUGAUGCUCCAGGGGUCAGAGAAGCAGCAGCUGCUUUGGACGAGGAGGAGACAAGACGAUACAGACCAACAAAGAACUAAAUGAGUUACCUGCCCACACCUGAUUUCUCAACUUUUGAGACAGGUCAUGAAGAAUGAGUUUGAGAGACUUGGUGCUCGUCAACCCAUGGAGCUGCUCAGUAUGAAGAAGUAAAAGUUUACUGAUUAAACUAUUGUCACAGUGAGGUGCAGUCGUGACUCUCUGGAGACUUCGCGAAGGAAGUAGAAAGAACGACAACACACACAGUCGUAAUUUGGCCCUAAAGAUUGAAAAUGCACAAAAGGAACACCAGAAGCGUAGAAAACAGAUAAAGGACCUGAACUGGCUGCGCAAAAACGAUCAGCUAGCUGGUGGAGCCAAACUUGGAGAACUUCAAAGAGUCAAACUGGGUGUCCCUCAUUAGCAAUGACCUAAAAUCGAGCGUACAUCGUACAGCUGGAGAACGGAGUGAGACAGAUGAAACAGCAACAGGGUCAGGAGAACAAAGAGACUAUUCGACCGGAAUAUUAAAUAAUGACUCCAGUUCAACACCAUCUUGAGACUGUUGCAGGCUUUUGCUUGUCUUGGACCAGUAAAUGAGCACUAUCAAAGUGCCACUUUUUUCAAUUAGAAUUUUGUUCUAUUUUUCAUGACGAAGAGAGAGACAUCUUUAUACAAGGAAAACAGACAAUAGUGUUUUAUUGCAAAUGGAUUAACUACUGUUGUAGUCCAGAUGUCAUAAUUCUGCACCAAAAGUCAUUGUCUUUUAUGUGAUUACCUGACAGACCUUUUAGGUAAAACAUUUUUUUUAGCUCUUUGUAUUUUUUUUAAGAAACACAAUAAA